rnacentral:rRNA from 1 species
CUGGCUGUCCGCAUGUAUAAAUCACAUGUGUCAGCAAGGGCCGGGCAAGACCGGUGCCAGCCGCCGCGGUAACACCGGCGGCCCGAGUGGUGGCCAUUAUUAUUGGGUCUAAAGGGUCCGUAGCCGGUUUGAUCAGUCUUCCGGGAAAUCUGACAGCUCAACUGUUAGGCUUCUGGGGGAUACUGUCAGACUUGGAACCGGGAGAGGUAAGAGGUACUACAGGGGUAGGAGUGAAAUCUUGUAAUCCUUGUGGGACCACCAGUGGCGAAGGCGUCUUACCAGAACGGGUUCGACGGUGAGGGACGAAAGCUGGGGGCACGAACCGGAUUAGAUACCCGGGUAGUCCCAGCCGUAAACGAUGCUCGCUAGGUGUCUGGGAUGGUGCGACCGUUUCAGGUGCCGCAGGGAAGCCGUGAAGCGAGCCACCUGGGAAGUACGGCCGCAAGGCUGAAACU